rnacentral:rRNA from 1 species
UACUCGAGUGGCGAACGGGUGAGUAACACGUGGGUGAUCUGCCCUGCACUUCGGGAUAAGCUUGGGAAACUGGGUCUAAUACCGGAUAGGAGCCAUCUUUAGUGUGGUGGUUGGAAAGUUUUUUCGGUGUAGGAUGAGCUCGCGGCCUAUCAGCUUGUUGGUGGGGUAAUGGCCUACCAAGGCGGCGACGGGUAGCCGGCCUGAGAGGGUGUACGGCCACAUUGGGACUGAGAUACGGCCCAGACUCCUACGGGAGGCAGCAGUGGGGAAUAUUGCACAAUGGGCGCAAGCCUGAUGCAGCGACGCCGCGUGGGGGAUGAAGGCCUUCGGGUUGUAAACUCCUUUCGCUAGGGACGAAGCUUUGUUGUGACGGUACCUAGAUAAGAAGCACCGGCUAACUACGUGCCAGCAGCCGCGGUAAUACGUAGGGUGCGAGCGUUGUCCGGAAUUACUGGGCGUAAAGGGCUCGUAGGUGGUUUGUCGCGUCGUCUGUGAAAUUCUGGGGCUUAACUCCGGGCGUGCAGGCGAUACGGGCAUAACUUGAGUGCUGUAGGGGUAACUGGGAUUCCUGGUGUAGCGGUGAAAUGCGCAGAUAUCAGGAGGAACACCGAUGGCGAAGGCAGGUUACUGGGCAGUUACUGACGCUGAGGAGCGAAAG